GGAGGUUUAGCUCAGCUGGGAGAGCAUCUGCCUUACAAGCAGAGGGUCAGCGGUUCGAUCCC
rnacentral:tRNA from 1 species